CUGUGAGGUAUGCUGGAGGUAUCAGAAGUGCGAAUGCUGACAUAAGUAACGAUAAUGCGGGUGAAAAACCCGCACGCCGGAAGACCAAGGGUUCCUGUCCAACGUUAAUCGGGGCAGGGUGAGUCGACCCCUAAGGCGAGGCUGAAAAGCGUAGUCGAUGGGAAACGGGUUAAUAUUCCCGUACUGGUGGUAACUGCGAUGGGGGAACGGAGAAGGCUAGGUUGUCCGGGCGACGGUCGUCCCGGUUCAAGCAGGUAGGCAGAGUGAUUAGGCAAAUCCGGUCACUUAAUGCUGAGAUGUGAUGACGAACCACCAAGGUGGUGAAGCAAUUGAUGCCCCGCUUCCAGGAAAAGCCUCUAAGCUUCAGGUUACCAACAAUCGUACCCCAAACCGACACAGGUGGUCAGGUAGAGAAUACUCAGGCGCUUGAGAGAACUCGGGUGAAGGAACUAGGCAAAAUGGUGCCGUAACUUCGGGAGAAGGCACGCUGGCGGUAGGUAAAGUCCCUUGCGGACGGCGCUGAAGCCAGUCGAAGAUACCAGCUGGCUGCAACUGUUUAUUAAAAACACAGCACUGUGCAAACACGAAAGUGGACGUAUACGGUGUGACGCCUGCCCGGUGCUGGAAGGUUAAUUGAUGGGGUUAGCCGCAAGGCGAAGCUCCUGAUCGAAGCCCCAGUAAACGGCGGCCGUAACUAUAACGGUCCUAAGGUAGCGAAAUUCCUUGUCGGGUAAGUUCCGACCUGCACGAAUGGCGUAAUGAUGGCCAGGCUGUCUCCACCCGAGACUCAGUGAAAUUGAACUCGCUGUGAAGAUGCAGUGUACCCGCGGCAAGACGGAAAGACCCCGUGAACCUUUACUAUAGCUUGACACUGAACAUUGAGCCUUGAUGUGUAGGAUAGGUGGGAGGCUUUGAAGUGUGGACGCCAGUCUGCAUGGAGCCAACCUUGAAAUACCACCCUUUAACGUUUGAUGUUCUAACCUAGGCCCAUAAACUGGGUCGGGGACCGUGUCUGGUGGGUAGUUUGACUGGGGCGGUCUCCUCCUAAAGAGUAACGGAGGAGCACGAAGGUUGGCUAAGCAUGGUCGGACAUCAUGCGGUUAGUGCAAAGGCAUAAGCCAGCUUGACUGCGAGAGUGACGGCUCGAGCAGGUACGAAAGUAGGUCUUAGUGAUCCGGUGGUUCUGAAUGGAAGGGCCAUCGCUCAACGGAUAAAAGGUACUCCGGGGAUAACAGGCUGAUACCGCCCAAGAGUUCAUAUCGACGGCGGUGUUUGGCACCUCGAUGUCGGCUCAUCACAUCCUGGGGCUGAAGUAGGUCCCAAGGGUAUGGCUGUUCGCCAUUUAAAGUGGUACGCGAGCUGGGUUUAGAACGUCGUGAGACAGUUCGGUCCCUAUCUGCCGUGGGCGUUGGAAGAUUGAGAGGGGUUGCUCCUAGUACGAGAGGACCGGAGUGAACGCACCACUGGUGUUCGGGUUGUCAUGCCAAUGGCAUUGCCCGGUAGCUAAGUGCGGAAGAGAUAACCGCUGAAAGCAUCUAAGCGGGAAACUUGCCUCGAGAUGAGUCUUCCCUGUCGCUUUAAGCGACCUAAAGGAACGUUUAAGACUAAGACGUUGAUAGGCUGGGUGUGUAAGCGUAGCGAUACGUUGAGCUAACCAGUACUAAUGAACCGUGAGGCUUAACCUG
rnacentral:rRNA from 1 species